CAGUGUAUCAAAUACUUGUUCUGCCCACUGAAUAUAUAUAUUUAUUUUAUAGAUGUGUUGUAUAUUUGAUGUAUUGAUGCAGUGCUCAUCCCCUGCUAAAAUAAAGGUUCAAUAAAAUAAGUAAUAGUAAGCUUGAGUUCUAACUGAUUUUUAAAAAUCCUCAAUAGUGGUAGAGAGUAAGAUGACCUGUGGGAGCCAACUUCAAAGACACCUCAUUCAAGUCCUUCCUCCACUCAUUCAAAUGUAGGAACUGGUUUCUCCAGUCAGACCCCUCUGCUGUCUCUGGCUCCACACCCACCCCCGUCCCGGCCAUCUAGAGGUGUGAAGUUGUUCUCAGGAGACGGGUCAGUGUGUGUAGAGAACACAUUUGAUGAGGUAGAGUCAGGUUUCUACUCAGGAGACAGGUCAGUGUGUGUAGAGAACACAUUUGACCAGGUAGAGUCAGGCUUCUACUCAGGAGACAGGUCAGUGUGUGUAGAGAGAACACAUUUGACCAGGUAGAGUCAGGCUUCUACUUCAUCGCCUUGGACCACUACACCAACGAGGCAGAGGACACCAAGUUUGGAACAGUGAGUAACCAACUCAUCUUAUGAUUUACACAUCGCACCGCCUUCCUCACACUUCAGUGCCCUACUUUUGUUUAUCUUUUUACCAAUGUCUAUGGAUUGUACAAGGGUUUUAAGUUGGGACUUGGACUCCAUAUUACAUUUAAUUAUAUCUCCUGUAUUGUUCUGCCCUCUAUAUAUAUUGUGCUAAUGCACCACUGUAAGAACCUGGAGAUCUUCACUGGUUCUGAGGGAGAUGAUGUGGCCACAAACAGUGCCUGGGACAUCUUCCAGUGCUACCACUGUCUGGAGAACAGCCAGAGGGUGGUCAAGACAUCUGACUGGAGAACAGCCAGAGGGUGGUCAAGACAUCGGACUGGAGAACAGCCAGGUGGUCAAGACAUCUGCUGCUACUUCAUCUUAAUUGUGUCAGCUCUGCUGCACCUGAGCGCUAAAGGUGGCUCUGGCUUGCUGAUAACAUCUGAUCUGAUGAGACUCUUUAUGCAGUUUGACUGAUUUUAUUCAAUAAAGCUUCCAAUGCCAAAUUGAAAUCAUUUGAGAUUCUGUAAUUGAUAGACAAG